rnacentral:rRNA from 1 species
UACGGGGGGAGCAAGCGUUAUCCGGAUUCACUGGGUUUAAAGGGUGCGUAGGUGGGUUGAUAAGUCAGUGGUGAAAUCCCCGAGCUUAACUUGGGAACUGCCAUUGAUACUAUUGAUCUUGAAUACCGUGGAGGUCAGCGGAAUAUGUCAUGUAGCGGUGAAAUGCUUAGAUAUGACAUAGAACACCAAUUGCGAAGGCAGCUGGCUACGCGAAUAUUGACACUGAUGCACGAAAGCGUGGGGAUCAAACAGG